rnacentral:snRNA from 1 species
AUACUUACCUGGUAGGUGAGAUACCAUGAAUGUGAAGGUGGUUUUUCCAGAGCAAGGCUUAUCUAUCCUAAUUCAGAUGUACUGCCCCCUGAAAUUUCCCCAAAUGUAGGAAAUUUUACUACAUAACUUGUGGUAGUGGGGGACCGUGUUCAUGUUUUCCCCUG